CCUCGUAAAGAUUUUCCUAAAAUAGCAUGUGCAUAAAGGAAACUACAUGAAGAAAGUUAUCAAUCUAUUUUAAACUAAGAACAUUGGUAACGUCCACACCCUGAAUCUAAUAAGUAUCCUUCUUAUCAUGGUUGAUGUCACUCAAAUACUAUUACUUAUCUUGGUCGAUACAAAUAGACUGUCGCACUAUUUAUUUCAUAAGCUACUGAUCCACUAAUUAUUUGGAUAACAUCCUUUUUCUCCUGACCUUUGAUUUCGGUACUUCAUCUUCAUCUUCAAGCAAUGUAUUUUUGGCUUUUGCUUUAACAUGUUUCUUGUUCCCGCAAACACCUUUUCCCUUUUUUUAGGCAUAUUCGUCUUAGUGCAUUCAUCCUCUGACUCAUCUGAUAUUACAACAGAUCUCAGUCUCCUUUUAGUGCCACUGCGGAGCUCACGUGAUGAUGAUGGUAUUUUGUCUUGACGCUUAUCUUUAUUUAAUGUAGUCCCAUUGCUGUCAUGUGGCUCCUCUUUCACAGGCACCAGUUCACAUGAAAGUUUGCCAGAUGAAACUUUAUUAUUCUAUGACUGCAAAGAUAAACAUUUUGAAAAUUAGACACAUCUCUAAAAUCUGAAGUGUGUACAUUGUUAAAAAAACAAUCACCUUUCUAUCUGGCAUGUUUUGCUUCUUCAUUAACACAGUGUCCACCUCAUCAUCCAUUAAGGAAUUCUAAAAAUGGUAAAAAGUUAAUGCAGCUUUACCUCCUCGGCUUUAUUGUCCAAAUAGAGCAUCUCAAGCCUAUCAUCAGGCACAAAUGUUCUUUUUACGGCAUAGUUUUGUGUGCCAAAUGUUAGAUUAUUAUCAUUGAGCUUGAAUCUAAAUAUGAGUCUUUUUCCACAUAAUUGUUGAAUAAUCUUUGGCGCUUCUUCCGAUUUCCCAUCCUGUGUGUCCAGCAGAUUAGAUGCAGAUGUAUUAAGCAAUCUUGUAGCCUCCUCAUCAAAUAAAGUGCAACUUGUAGUAGAUGUAUGGUCACUAAUUUGGAGUCGAACAGGGUACCUAACACAUGAUUCCUGGUAGUGGAGAGUAAAUAUAAUAUAACAUUUUUUUCAUAUUUUAGUAAUAUAAUAUGCUUACCAUGGUGUGACCUUUUCUGGAUAUAUACCACAACUCUUGCAAUAAUAAUGGUCACUAAUUUGUGGCACUUAUCACAUGACAUGUACCACCAUUGAAUAUUUUCUUGCAAACGAUCCACUGUAGCUAUGACAGUGAACACAAAAUCCUAAAGAAAACAACAUUAGCAUUUGGGUGGGGUGUGGGAUUAAGAGGCAUAUAUAAGCACAAUAUGGUUUCAUUGUAACUAAUAUUAAAUGAAUUGUCCAUGCAGGUCUUAUCGCGUAUCACGGAGAUUGAUGAUAUCAUUUAUUGGAAUUUUGAUGCGUUACCUGGUCUGGCUGGUUUCCGUGCCUCAUUGCA
rnacentral:lncRNA from 1 species